rnacentral:rRNA from 1 species
CUGUAGUCUGCAACCCGACUACACGAAGCUGGAAUCGCUAGUAAUCGCGAAUCAGAAUGUCGCGGUGAAUACGUUCCCGGGUCUUGUACACACCGCCCGUCACACCAUGGGAGUCGGGAAUGCCCGAAGUCAGUGACCCAACCAUAUGGAGGGAGCUGCCGAAGGCAGGUCUGAUAACUGGGGUGAAGUCGUAACAAGGUACC